CUGAGACGUGAUGCGUAGCCGUUUGAGGCGAAGUAGAGUGAUCCUAUGCUGCCGAGAAAAGCCUCUAGUGAGUGCAUGCACGGCCCGUACCCCAAACCAACACAGGUGGUCAGGUAGAGAAUACCAAGGCGAUCGGGUGAACUGUGGUUAAGGAACUCGGCAAAAUGCCCCCGUAACUUCGGGAGAAGGGGGGCCAAACAUCCUGAAGCCCUUCGCGGGCUAGGGGUGGGUGGCCGCAGAGACCAGCGGAAAGCGACUGUUUACUAAAAACACAGGUCCAUGCGAAGUCGCAAGACGAUGUAUAUGGACUGACGCCUGCCCGGUGCUGGAACGUUAAGAGGACCGGUUAGCCUUUCGGGGCGAAGCUGAGAAUUUAAGCGCCAGUAAACGGCGGUGGUAACUAUAACCAUCCUAAGGUAGCGAAAUUCCUUGUCGGGUAAGUUCCGACCUGCACGAAUGGCGUAACGACUUUCCGGCUGUCUCAACCACAGGCCCGGCGAAAUUGCACUACGAGUAAAGAUGCUCGUUACGCGCGGCAGGACGGAAAGACCCCGGGACCUUUACUAUAGUUUGGUAUUGGUUUUCGGUUCGGCUUGUGUAGGAUAGGUGGGAGACUGUGAAGCG
rnacentral:rRNA from 1 species